rnacentral:rRNA from 1 species
UACGGGGGGAGCAAGCGUUGUUCGGAUUUACUGGGCGUAAAGGGCGCGUAGGCGGUCAGCACAAGUCAGUUGUGAAAUCUCCGGGCUUAACUCGGAAAGGUCAACUGAUACUGUGCGACUAGAGUGCAGAAGGGGCAACUGGAAUUCUCGGUGUAGCGGUGAAAUGCGUAGAUAUCGAGAGGAACACCGGUGGCGAAGGCGAGUCCCUGGACAACACCUGACACUGAGGCACGAAAGCUAGGGGAGCAAACAGG